rnacentral:rRNA from 1 species
GACGAACGCUGGCGGCGUGCUUAACACAUGCAAGUCGUACGGCAAGGCCCUUUGGGGGGGACACGAGUGGCGAACGGUUGAGUAACACGGGAGUAACCUGCGCACAACUCUUUUACAAGGCUAGGAAAGUGGGGCAAAUACCGGUUAUGUCGCCUUGCUCCAUGGGGGGGGUGGGAAAGCUCUGCCGGUUGUGGGUGAACUCGCGGGCUAAUGGCUUGUUGGCGCGGUGGUGGCGUACCGAGGCGGCGAGGGGUAGCCGGACUGUGGGGGUGAGCGGCGACAUUGGGACUGAGGUGAGGCCCAGGUUCCUAAGGGAGGCAGAAGUGGGGAAUAUUGCUCAAUGGGCGCCAGCCUGAUGAAGCAGCGCCGCGUGCGGGAUGACGGCCUUCGGGUUGUAGACCGCUUUCAGCAGAAACGAAGCUUUUUGUGACGGUACCUGCAGAAGAAGCACCGGCUAACUACGUG